CCAGUUGUGGCUACGGGACAAAGUGUUCCUUUUCUAGGCAGAGAUGUUUCAUCUGAAGCCAGGCUUGACUUUUCUUUCAGCCAUAAUAAUAAACAUUUGACAACUUUCUUCACUAGUGAGGAACUGGAGAAAGUGCAGUGAUUUUGGCUCAGAGGCCUUUAAUUUGGAAACAUGGAGGAAGUUUGGGACACUAUGGUGUCUCUCCUGCACACUGUCUCUGCAUCUUAAUGAAUGA